rnacentral:rRNA from 1 species
AGUGAACGCUGGCGGUAGGCCUAACACAUGCAAGUCGAACGGCAGCACAGUAAGAGCUUGCUCUUACGGGUGGCGAGUGGCAGACGGGUGAGGAAUACAUCGGAAUCUACUUUUUCGUGGGGGAUAACGUAGGGAAACUUACGCUAAUACCGCAUACGACCUACGGGUGAAAGCAGGGGAUCUUCGGACCUUGCGCGAUUGAAUGAGCCGAUGUCGGAUUAGCUAGUUGGCGGGGUAAAGGCCCACCAAGGCGACGAUCCGUAGCCGGUCUGAGAGGAUGAUCAGCCACACUGGAACUGAGACACGGUCCAGACUCCUACGGGAGGCAGCAGUGGGGAAUAUUGGACAAAGGGCGCAAGCCUGAUCCAGUCAUACCGCGUGGGUGAAGAAGGCCUUCGGGUUGUAAAGCCCUUUUGUUGGGAAAGAAAAGCAGCAGGUUAAUACCCCGCUGUUCUGACGGUACCCAAAGAAUAAGCACCGGCUAACUUCGUG